rnacentral:rRNA from 1 species
AAAACAAAAAAUUAUGGCGGUGUUUUAAGCUUUUCAGAGGAAUUUGCUCUUUAAUGGAUAAAACACCUAAAUCUUACUAAAAUUGGUAAAGACAGUUUGUAUACCACUAUUAAAGCAAUUAUUUAUUACAAUUGCUGUAAAUUUUACAAAAAAAAAAGUUAAGUCAAGGUGCAGCUUAAAUUUUAGGCUGAAGUGAAUUACAAUACUUUUUAGGAACUUUUUUUAAAAUAAAAAAAAUUAGGAUUUGAAAGUAAAGUUUUAAUA